rnacentral:siRNA from 1 species
UCAUUUGCAGGGACCUACCAAUAA